rnacentral:rRNA from 1 species
AUUGAACGCUGGCGGAAUGCUUUACACAUGCAAGUCGAACGGCAGCACGGGGGCAACCCUGGUGGCGAGUGGCGAACGGGUGAGUAAUACAUCGGAACGUGCCCAAUCGUGGGGGAUAACGUAGCGAAAGCUACGCUAAUACCGCAUACGAUCUACGGAUGAAAGCGGGGGAUCGCAAGACCUCGCGCGAAUGGAGCGGCCGAUGGCAGAUUAGGUAGUUGGUGGGUAAAGGCUCACCAAGCCGACGAUCUGUAGCUGGUCUGAGAGGACGACCAGCCACACUGGGACUGAGACACGGCCCAGACUCCUACGGGAGGCAGCAGUGGGGAAUUUUGGACAAUGGGCGAAAGCCUGAUCCAGCCAUUCCGCGUGCAGGAUGAAGGCC